AUUUUUUGUAUUUUUAGUAGAGACGGGGUUUCACCAUGUUGGCCAGGAUGGUCUCGAUCUCUUGACCUCGUGAUCCGCCUGCCUCGGCCUCCCAAAGUCCUGGGAUUACAGGCAUGAGCCACCGCGCCUGGCCGAGUUAAAGUAACUUUCCAAAGAUGCAUGAUUUCCAUGUAAAAAGAAGCGAAUAAUGAUGGGACCACUAUGAAGAAAGCUUCUGAGGACAAAGGCAGCUGGGGAGAUCCCAAGAGGAGACCAAAUAAGGAAAAAUGCAGUUGGCUAGAGAAAUCGGUGAGAAUCAAGACUCUAUGGGUUGAAACCUGGCUCUACUUACUGGCUAUAUAAACUUCAAGCAACUUGUUUAACCUCAGUUUCCUUCGUAAAAUAGGGAUCAUAAUAGCACCUAUCUUACAGGCCUAUUGUGGGGAUAAAGCAUAACACACAUCAAAUACUUAGCUGGCUUCCCUUUGAGUUCUGUUUCCUCUACUGAGGGACAUUAGACACCACCCAUAAAGGAUGGAAGAUGACUUUUUUCCUUUCCUUAAUUUUUGAUGGAGAUUUCAAUCUAGAAGAACCACCCCUAGAUAAAAAAGUUCUAUACACAUCUGUAUUUCAAAAACAUUUUGGCGAGGCACAGUGGC
rnacentral:lncRNA from 1 species